rnacentral:rRNA from 2 species
UCGAUGGGAGCUUGCUCCCUGAGAUUAGCGGCGGACGGGUGAGUAACACGUGGGCAACCUGCCUAUAAGACUGGGAUAACUUCGGGAAACCGGAGCUAAUACCGGAUACGUUCUUUUCUCGCAUGAGAGAAGAUGGAAAGACGGUUUACGCUGUCACUUAUAGAUGGGCCCGCGGCGCAUUAGCUAGUUGGUGAGGUAAUGGCUCACCAAGGCGACGAUGCGUAGCCGACCUGAGAGGGUGAUCGGCCACACUGGGACUGAGACACGGCCCAGACUCCUACGGGAGGCAGCAGUAGGGAAUCUUCCGCAAUGGACGAAAGUCUGACGGAGCAACGCCGCGUGAACGAAGAAGGCCUUCGGGUCGUAAAGUUCUGUUGUUAGGGAAGAACAAGUACCAGAGUAACUGCUGGUACCUUGACGGUACCUAACCAGAAAGCCACGGCUAACUACGUGCCAGCAGCCGCGGUAAUACGUAGGUGGCAAGCGUUGUCCGGAAUUAUUGGGCGUAAAGCGCGCGCAGGUGGUUCCUUAAGUCUGAUGUGAAAGCCCACGGCUCAACCGUGGAGGGUCAUUGGAAACUGGGGAACUUGAGUGCAGAAGAGGAAAGUGGAAUUCCAAGUGUAGCGGUGAAAUGCGUAGAGAUUUGGAGGAACACCAGUGGCGAAGGCGACUUUCUGGUCUGUAACUGACACUGAGGCGCGAAAGCGUGGGGAGCAAACAGGAUUAGAUACCCU